rnacentral:rRNA from 1 species
UGGGGAAUAUUGCACAAUGGGCGGAAGCCUGAUGCAGCAACGCCGCGUGCGGGAUGACGGCCUUCGGGUUGUAAACCGCUUUCGCCUGUGACGAAGCGUGAGUGACGGUAAUGGGUAAAGAAGCACCGGCUAACUACGUGCCAGCAGCCGCGGUGAUACGUAGGGUGCGAGCGUUGUCCGGAUUUAUUGGGCGUAAAGGGCUCGUAGGUGGUUGAUCGCGUCGGAAGUGUAAUCUUGGGGCUUAACCCUGAGCGUGCUUUCGAUACGGGUUGACUUGAGGAAGGUAGGGGAGAAUGGAAUUCCUGGUGGAGCGGUGGAAUGCGCAGAUAUCAGGAGGAACGCCAGUGGCGAAGGCGGUUCUCUGGGCCUUUCCUGACGCUGAGGAGCGAAAAGCGUGGGGAGCGAAACAGGCUUAGAUACCCUGGUAGUCCACGCUGUAAAACGGUGGGUACUAGGUGUGGGGUCCAUUCCACGGGUUCCGCGCCGUAGCUAAACG